rfam:Gossypium raimondii Chr01_contig_120, whole genome shotgun sequence.
UGUUAAAAAAUUCAUCCCUUUGUAUUGGUAAAAAUUAGUGUGACUGAUAGAAUAAUCAGACAAUGACAUAUGACGUGCCACGUGUACUUCAUGUUGACGUACAUGGAUCAGUUUUUAAUAGUAGAGAUAGAUGAAGAUUUUAACC